rnacentral:rRNA from 1 species
AACGAACGCUGGCGGUAUGCUUAACACAUGCAAGUCGUACGAAUGAGAUUUUAAGCUUGCUUAAAAUCGAGUUAGUGGCAAACGGGUGAGUAACACGUGGGAAUCUACCCAGUAGUACAGAAUAACAGUUAGAAAUGACUGCUAAUACUGUAUAGUAUCGAGAGAUUAAAGAUUUAUCGCUACUGGAUGAGCCCGCGUCAGAUUAGGUAGUUGGUGGGGUAAUGGCCUACCAAGCCAAAGAUCUGUAGCUGGUCUGAGAGGAUGAUCAGCCACACUGGAACUGAGACACGGUCCAGACUCCUACGGGAGGCAGCAGUGAGGAAUAUUGGACAAUGGGCGAAAGCCUGAUCCAGCCAUGCUGCGUGUGUGAAGAAGGCCUUAUGGUUGUAAAGCACUUUAAGCGAGGAGGAGGCUACUCUAGUUAAUACCUAGGGAUAGUGGACGUUACUCGCAGAAUAAGCACCGGCUAACUCUGUGCCAGCAGCCGCAGUAA